GCGCCGCUAAUACCGGGUACGACCUGAGAUCUAUCCGAUAUCAGGUGAGAGCGGGCUUUGUUCCGCGCCGGAAGAGGGGGCUGCGGCCUAUUAGCUAGUUGGUGAGGUAACGGCCCACCAAGGCAACGAUGGGUAGCCGAUUGGAGAGGAUGAUCAGCACAUGGGACUGAAAAACGGCCCGAAUCCACGGAGGCAGCAGUUAAGAAUAUUGCACAAUGGGCGAAGCUGAUGCAGCGACGCCGCGGGAGCGAUGAGCUCGGGUGUAAAGCUCUUUCUGGGGAAGAAACGACGGUAAAUAGCCGUCUAAUGACGGUACCCCAGGAAUAAGCUCGGCUAAUUACGUGCCAGCAGCGCGGUAAUACGUAAGAGGCAAGCGUUGUCCGGAAUCACUGGGCGUAAAGCGCGUGUAGGUGGUUUAGUAAGUCGGAUGUGAAAUCCCCGGGCUCAACCCGGGAACUGCGUCCGAAACUGCCAGACUGGAGAACAGGAGAGGAGAGUGGAAUUCCGGGUGUAGCGGUGAAAUGCGUAGAUAUCCGGAGGAACACCAGUGGCGAAGGCGGCUCUCUGGCCUGUUUCUGACACUGAGACGCGAAAGCGUGGGGAGCGAACGGGAUUAGAUACCCCGGUAGUCCACGCUGUAAACGAUGGGUACUAGGUGUCGGGGGAUCGACCCCCUCGGUGCCGUAGCUAACGUGUUAAGUACCCCGCCUGGGGACUACGAUCGCAAGAUUAAAACUCAAAGGAAUUGACGGGGCCCCGCACAAGCAGUGGAGCAUGUGGUUUAAUUCGAUGCUACGCGAAGAACCUUACCUGGGCUUGACAUCCCCGGAAUCCCCCUGAAAGGGGGGAGUGCCGCGAGGAGCCGGGAGACAGGUGCUGCAUGGCUGUCGUCAGCUCGUGUCGUGAGAUGUUGGAUUAAGUUCCGCAACGAGCGCAACCCUCGUCGCUAGUUACCAUCAUUAAGUUGGGGACUCUAGCGAGACCGCCGGACAAACCGGAGGAGGUGACGAUGACGUCAGUCAGCAUGCCCUUUAUGCCCAGGGCCACACACGUGCUACAAUGGUCCGUACAACCGGCUGCAAAGGCAACCUCGAGCCAAUCCCUAAAGGCCCCAGUCGGAUGAAGCUGCAAUGCUCAUGAGUCGAAUGCUAGUAACGUGAUCAGCUAUGUCCCGUUGAAUACGGUACCGGGGCUUGUACACACCGCCCGUCACACCACCCGAGUCUGAUGGACCCGAAGUCGCUGCCCCAACCGCAAGGAGGGAGGCGCCUAAGGUCUGUCCGGCGAGGAGGGUGAAGUCGUAACAAGGUAACC
rnacentral:rRNA from 1 species